rnacentral:rRNA from 1 species
AUUGAACGCUGGCGGCAUGCCUUACACAUGCAAGUCGAACGGUAGAGUAGCAAUACUUGAGAGUGGCGAACGGGUGAGUAAUAUAUCGGAACGUGCCCAGUCGUGGGGGAUAACGUAGAGAAAUUUACGCUAAUACCGCAUACGAUCUAAGGAUGAAAGCGGGGGAUUCGCAAGAACCUCGCGCGAUUGGAGCGGCCGAUAUCAGAUUAGGUUGUUGGUGAGGUAAAAGCUCACCAAGCCGACGAUCUGUAGCUGGUUUGAGAGAACGACCAGCCACACUGGGACUGAGACACGGCCCAGACUCCUACGGGAGGCAGCAGUGGGGAAUUUUGGACAAUGGGCGAAAGCCUGAUCCAGCAAUGCCGCGUGCAGGAAGAAGGCC